GGCCCCGUAGCUCAGCUGGAUAGAGCACCGGUUUCCUAAACCGUAGGUCGCGUGUUCGAAUCACGCCGGGGUCACCA
rnacentral:tRNA from 2 species